UGGAAGGAUAUGGGCAAUGCUUAUGCACGGGAGGAAAUUCAGUGUGUGGAACUCCUCUGAUUCCCUGAGCCUGACCUUCUGAGGUCUUUUGACAGAUUAGGUUCCUAUGCUUCCAGAGACGAAGGGUAUAUGAAAAUGAGCAGAAGCAGGAAUUGUACAGGAGGGAAGAGCUGGGGCAACUGUAUAGAGAAAGACACCUGUGUGUCCUAGACUCCGACGCCUCAUCUGCAGCGGAGCACAAACAGCGAGCCCAGCCGCUUAGGGCUCACCUCACCCGCCUACCCGGAUGCUGCCAACCCGGUCAACCAAAUUCAGAGAUUGCUUUCCCACUUGGCAUGGAUCAUAGACUUUUGGCUUGAACGCACUUAACUCCUUUUCUUCCCAUUUCCUUUGAACUACUAUCUUUCAUUUUUCUAGUCUGUUGCCGGAUUGGAUUUAAUAAAAUGUUUC